CCCUGGUUAGCUCAGUUGGUAGAGCGCUCCACUUGUAAUGGAGAGGUCCCGGGUUCGAUACCCGGAGCAGGCA
rnacentral:tRNA from 2 species